rnacentral:misc_RNA from 1 species
AAGUCGUAACAAGGUAACCGUAGGUGAACCUGCGGUUGGAUCAUUAAAAUGUUUCUGCUCUUGCCCUGUCGGGCACAGACCCCAUGUGAACUGUUUAUGUCUCUGGUGGCCGGAAGACAAAUGCAUUCAUUGCUUUGCUUCCUGUCCGGUUAGCUCUCGGCCUGCUGGCCAGUCUAUGCCAUGGACAAGCCACCAAAUGAUAGGACCUAGGACCUAUGGUUCUAGGUUCUAUAUUAUAAACCAAUUAUGAGUCUGAGUAAUGUCUUACACUUAGUUUAAUUACAUGUAAAUGUUAAUUACAACUUUUGGCAACGGAUCUCUUGGCUCUCA